CCUCCAUCACACUGAUCCACCCACAGAAUUCUGCCCAGUUACCUUGGAUCCACCAGCCACAACAAGCCUCGCGGUACACACCAAGAUUCCACCUAGAAUCCAACCGAUGUCAGGAAUCUUGGAGCCGUUCUUGGAGCAGAGAAUGGAGUGACAUUCUCAAUGCACGUUGACACUCCGAAUGUUUCUGCCAGUAUCACAGAAGUUCAGAAGGUCUCAUGAAUGUCUUUCGAGCCUGGUAUUCUCUAGAGAUGUCUCCAUGCCGGUAUUCUCCAUUGUAGCGGAACAACUCUCAUCAAUAUGUUCGCAUCUCUCCUCAAUCCGUGCAGCCAGCUUUUCUGCCAGCUUCUCUUCGUGUCUCCCAUAAAGUCGACUUCAACAGGACUGGGCAAGACUGAAAGUACCUCGGAGACUCACCAGUAAGCUGAUGAAAGUCAGUUCUUCCACUGUCUGCCCUUUCAGCUUCUGGAAACUUACACGUGAACUUAGGUCUUUGGACAGCAGCAUUAUCUCGAACUUACACAGCUUCCUGAUCAAAAGACCUAAGCCAAUCUCCACAAAGGGCGGCAGCACCCCCAUCACACUGAUCCACCCACAGAAUUCUGCCCAGUUACCUUGGAUCCACCCGCCACAAAAGCCUCGCUGUACACACCAAGAUUCCACCUGGAAUCCAACCGGUUUUCUGAGGCUUCAUCCUGUCUUUCGAUAUAACAGACCAUCCUUCGGCAAGUUUCCUGUGCCAAGGGCUGGAGGUCAGAUCCUGCACUGGUUUGCAUUCUCUACUUUGCCGUCUCCUGCUUCAAUGUUUUCUCAGGCCUCAUCCUGUCUUUGGAUUUAACAGACCAAUCUUCGGCAAGUUUCCUGUGCCAAGGGCUUGGUGAGUGGAUGUUUACAUUGCUGUGUACAUGGGAGUGAGAGUGCACAGGUUACACUGGUACUCUGCCAAAUGAGCAUUGAUAAAUCAACACUUUCCUGAUAUAAUUCACAGAAAUGUGAUGUUUGUUUAGCUCUGUUUUCUAUACACCCAUCAUGGGAGGGUUUGUCCGUAGACCCCAGUUUUGAUAUUGUGUUGAUAACUCAGUUGCAGUUUUUAAGAAGGUUAAUAGAAUUGAUUUACAUGUUUUGGGAUUUAUAAGAAAAUGAAGUUAGUUUUUGUAACAUACUAAAUCCACCUAGAUUCCAGACUUGUCAAUUUGUAACAUUUUGUCAACUCUAAGAAAAAUAUAGACAGUUAGAAAGUAAAAUCGCAGUCCAAAAUG